rnacentral:rRNA from 1 species
UAUAACAUAGAAUUAAUGCAUCAGAUCCCAUUAGAACUCUGCAGUUAAGCAUGCUCAUGCUAGAGUAGUACUAGGAUGGAUGACCACCUGAGAAGUCCUAGUGUUUUAC